rnacentral:rRNA from 1 species
GACGAACGCUGGCGGCGUGCUUAACACAUGCAAGUCGAACGGAAAGGCCCUGCUUUUGUGGGGUGCUCGAGUGGCGAACGGGUGAGUAACACGUGAGUAACCUGCCCUUGACUUUGGGAUAACUUCAGGAAACUGGGGCUAAUACCGGAUAGGAGCUCCUGCUGCAUGGUGGGGGUUGGAAAGUUUCGGCGGUUGGGGAUGGACUCGCGGCUUAUCAGCUUGUUGGUGGGGUAGUGGCUUACCAAGGCUUUGACGGGUAGCCGGCCUGAGAGGGUGACCGGCCACAUUGGGACUGAGAUACGGCCCAGACUCCUACGGGAGGCAGCAGUGGGGAAUAUUGCACAAUGGGCGGAAGCCUGAUGCAGCAACGCCGCGUGCGGGAUGACGGCCUUCGGGUUGUAAACCGCUUUCGCCUGUGACGAAGCGUGAGUGACGGAAAUGGGUAAAGAAGCACCGGCUAACUACG